rnacentral:lncRNA from 1 species
GGACCUCUCUGGCUGUAAGAAGAGAGCUCUACUCUCUUUGAGUUAUUUACAAACAUGAGGGAUGGACCUCUCUGGCUGUAAGAAGAGAGCUCUACUCUCUUUUAGUUAUUUACAAAGCAAUCUGCAGAAACGUCCUCUGUACAUUACUUCAACGAUAAAAUGUAGAUGAACAAAUGACCCCGUUCUCAGGGAUGGAUAACUCUGUACAUCCCUUUGGUCUCCACAGAAUUGGGGAAAUCUGCAUUUAGUCUGUUUGCCCCUUAUGUGUGAAACAAUACACACAAUACCAUGCAAUUAUAUAUUCUUGUGCAUUUCAGGUAUUUUAAAUGUUGAUUGGAGACUGUUACAGAAUGCGAUUGCUUUUUUAAAAUUGUGUUUUAUUAUAGUGGGCUUUAUUUGUAAUGUAUAUGAAGGGCUGUUUGGUUUUGUUAUAGUGGGUUUUAUUAUAGUAGGUUUUAUUAUAGUGGGUUUUAUUAUAGUGGGUUUUAUUAUAGUGGGUUUUAUUUGUAAUGUAUAUGAAGGGUUGUUCUGUUUUAUUAUAGUGGGUUUUAUUAUAGUGGGUUUUAUUAUAGUGGGUUUUAUUAUAGUGGGUUUUAUUAUAGUAGGUUUUAUUUGUAAUGUAUACGUAGGGUUGUUCUGUUUUAUUAUAGCAGGUUUUAUUAUAGUGGGUUUUAUUAUAGUGUUUUUUUUACAGUGGGUUUUAUUAUAGUGGGUUUUAUUAUAGUGGGUUUUAUUUGUAAUGUAUACGUAGGGUUGUUCUGUUUUAUUAUAGUGGGUUUUAUUAUAGUGGGUUUUAUUACAGUGGGUUCUAUUAUAGUGGGUUUUAUUUGUAAUGGAUACGUAGGGUUGUUCUGUUUUAUUAUAGUGGGUUUUAUUAUAGUGGGUUUUGUUAUAGUGGGUUUUAUUACAGUGUGUUUUAUUAUAGUGGGUUUUAUUAUAGUGGGUUUUAUUAUGGUGGGUUUUAUUAUAGUGGGUUUUAUUACAGUGGGUUGUAUUAUAGUGGGUUUUAUUAUAGUGGGUUUUAUUAUAGUGGGUUUUAUUAUAGUGGGUUUUGCUAGAGUGGGUUUUAUAAUAGUGGGUUUUGUUAUAGUGGGUUUUAUUAUAGUGUUUUUUUACAGUGGGUUUUAUUAUAGUGGGUUUUGUUAUAGUGGGUUUUGUUAUAGUGGGUUUUAUUAUAGUGGGUUUUAUUAUAGUGGGUUUUAUUUGUAAUGUAUAUGAAGGGCUGUUUGGUUUUAUUAUAGUGGGUUUUAUUAUAGUGGGUUUUAUUACAGUGGGUUUUAUUAUAGUGUUUUUUUACAGUGGGUUUUAUUAUAGUGGGUUUUGUUAUAGUGGGUUUUGUUAUAGUGGGUUUUAUUAUAGUGGGUUUUAUUAUAGUGGUUUUUUUACAGUGGGUUUUAUUAUAGUGUUUUUUUUUACAGUGGGUUUUAUUAUAGUGGGUUUUAUUAUAGUGGGUUUUAUUAUAGUGGGUUUUAUUAUAGUGGGUUUUAUUAUAGUGGGUUUUAUUUGUAAUGUAUAUGUAGGGCUGUUGUGUUUUAUUAUAGUGGGUUUUAUUUGUAAUGUACAUUUAUUUUGGGGGCUGGUAGAGACAGAGAGGGAGAGAGAAUGAGUGGGGAUAAAGAGGAGGUAGAGAGUGAGAGAGAGAACAAGGGGGAGAGAGGAGGUAGAGAGAGGGGGAGAGAGAGAGAGGGGGGAUAGAGAGAGGGGAGAGAGAGAGAGGAUGAGGGUGGAGAGAGAGAGAGAGAAUGAGGGUGGAAAGGAGGCAGAGAGUGAGAGAGAGAACAAGGGGUAGAGAGGAGGUAGAGAGAGAGAGAGGGGGGGGGGAGAGAGAGAGAAUAAGUGGGGAUAAAGAGGAGGUAGAGAGUGAGAGAGAGAACAAGGGGGAGAGAGGAGGUAGAGAGAGGGGGGAGAGAGAGAAAAAGGGGGGGUAGAGAUAGAGAAUGAGUGGGGAUAAAGAGGAGGUAGAGAGUGAGAGAGAGAACAAGGGGGAGAGAGGAGGUAGAGAGAGGGGAGAGAGAGAGGAGGGGUGGAGAGAGAGAGAGAAUGAGUGGGGAUAAAGAGGAGGUAGAGUGAGAGAGAGAACAAGGGGGAGAGAGGAGGUAGAGAGAGGAGGUAGAAAGAGAGAGAAUGAGGGUGGAGAGAUAGGAGGAAGAGAGAGGAGGUAGAGAGAGAGAGGAUGAGGGUGGAGAGAGAGGAGGAAGAGAGAGGAGGUAGAGAGAGAGAGAAUGAGGGUGGAGAGAGAGAGAGGGGGAGGGGUAGAGAGAGAGAGAAUGAGGGUGGAGAGAGAGGAGGAAGAGAGAGGAUGGAUGGAGAAUAAAGAAAGUAGGUAGAGAGUGAGAGAGACGGAGAGUAAAAUACCUGUCCACUGUCACUGACCCACAAUUAAGAAAAUCUAUUGAGAAAGGCUGCCAAAGGCAGACAUGGCUCUCAAGAGAAGACAGGCUAUGUGCUCACUGCCCACAAAAUGAGGUGGAAACUGAGCUGCACUUCCUAACCUCCUGCCAAAUGUAUGACCAUAUUAGAGACACAUAUUUCCCUCAGAUUACACAGACCCACAAAUAAUUUUAAAACAAAUCCAAUUUUGAUAAACUCCCAUAUCUACUGGGUGAAAUACCACAGUGUACCAUCACAGCAGCAAGAUGUGUUACCUGUUACCACAAGAAAAGGGCAACAAGUGAAGAACAAACACCAUUGUAAAUCUAAUCCUUAAUUAUAUUUAUUUUCCCUUUUGCUCUUUAACUAUUUGCACAACAUUACAAAACUGUAUAUAGACAUAAUGACAUUUGAAAUCUUUAUUAUUUUCAAACUUCUGUAAGUGUAAUGUUUACUGUUCAUUUUUUAUUGUUUAUUUCACUUUUGUAUAUUAUCUACCUCACUUGUUUUGGCAAUGUAAACAUAUGUUUCCCAUGCCAAUAAAGCCCCUUGAAUUGAAUUGAGACAGGCAUGAAAUAAAUGAGAAAACAUCAACCCUGUGACACUCAUCUUUUCCCAUUGACUGCAAUGUAUUGAGAAAAAUGUCAGCUUCUGUGACAUUUUAACGUUUUGGAAAAAUGUGUCAGGAUGAUGUCUUCCUAUGAUAUUAUGUUGCAGCGGUCAAAAAGAGUAUGGCAUGAUAUACUAUUUUGGGGCCAGACAGCAUCAAAGACAUGAGAGGGACAGAUAGAGUGUGACAGAGCGAGAAAUUAACUGAUUGAUAGAUAAGAGAAGGACAUGUGGAUAAAGGGAUUAGGGAGGAGGGAUGGAGGGGAAGAGAGUGCUAACCCUCCCCCAAAGAGAUAAGAGAAGAAAGAGAGAGUCCACCAUCUCCCAGCCUGCCUCUCCCAGUCUCUUCUAGUCCACCAUCUCCCAGCCUGCCUCUCCCAGUCUCUUCCAGUCCAUCAUCUCCCAGACUAGCCCUAACCCUAACCCUCCCCCAAAGAGAUAAGAGAAGAAAGAGAGAGAGUCCACCAUCUCCCAGCCUGCAUCUCCCAGUCUCUUCUAGUCCACCAUCUCCCAGCCUGCCUCCCCCAGUCUCUUCUAGACCACCAUCUCCCAGCCUGCCUCCCCCAAUCUCUUCUAGACCACCAUCUCCCAGUCUGCCUCCCCCAAAGAGAUAAGAGAAGAAAGAGAGAGAGUCCACCAUCUCCCAGCCUGCCUCUCCCAAAGAGAUAAGAGAAGAAAGAGAGAGAGUCCACCAUCUCCCAGCCUGCCUCUCCCAGUCUCUUCUAGACCACCAUCUCCCAGCUGCCUCUCCCAGUCUCUUCUAGUCCACCAUCUCCCAGCCUGCCUCUCCCAAGGAGAUAAGAGAAGAAAGAGAGAGAGUCCACCAUCUCCCAGCCUGCCUCUCCCAGUCUAUUCUAGACCACCAUCUCCCAGCCUGCCUCCCCCAAAGAGAUAAGAGAAGAAAGAGAGAGAGUCCAUCAUCUCCCAGCCUGUAUCUCCCAGUCUCUUUUAGUCCAUCAUCUCCCAGCCUGCCUCUCCCAGUCCACAAUCUCCCAGCCUGCCUCUCCCAGUCAACCAUCUCCCAGCC